rnacentral:ncRNA from 2 species
CUCUUAUCAAGAGUGGCGGAGGGACUGGCCCUGUGAAGCCCGGCAACCGUUAGAAGCUUUGCUUCUAAAAUGGUGCCAAUUCCUGCAGAAGCUUGGUCUUCUGAGAGAUAAGAG